CUUACCUCCUCCAUUCUAACUCAAAUUACUCGUCCUUGGAACCAUUCAAACAAAACUUUUCAGCAACCUCUCAAGGACCUGCACAUCUUUCAAAUGUGGUGGUCAGAAUUAGGCACGAUACUACUGUUGUGGCCUAAUCAAUAUUUUGCACAAGUUCAACAGGACUUUCCUGCUUUUGUAUUCUGUGCCUUCUAGAAUCCCAUAUGGCUAUGGACACUGGCAUCACUGCAGGUUCAAGAACAGCUACUUCCCUUCAACCAUUCAGUUCAUGAACCAGCAAAAUCCUAGUCGCUGCAGCAUAACAACAUUAUGACCCCUUUGAUCAUGAGAUAUGACCUCCGGAAAGCUAUCAGGAAUGCCAAGGGACAAUACUGGUUCAAAAUAGAAUCCCAGACCAGCCGUCAGUUGUGGCAGGGCUUACACGCUACAAAACGAAGUCGGGUUGCAUAGUUAACAACAGCGCAUCCCUUCCUGAUGAGCUUAACGCAUUCCAUGCACGUUUUGAACAGAAGGGAAGUGGAUUGUCACCACCCACCCUGACAGCCUCCAAUGCAACUGAACCCGUGGUCACCAUCGAGGACGCAAGAUCAGUCUUCCGGCAAGUGAACCAGAGGAAAGCAUCUGGCCGGAUGGUGUCCCUGGCCGUGUGCUCAGAUUUUAUGCUGAUCAGCUGGCGGGGUAUUUGCAGACAUAUUUAACCUCUCCCUGCUUCAAUCUGAGGUUCCCACCUGUUUUGAGAAGACCACUAUCAUCCUAGUACUGAAGAAGAACAAGGUAACGUGCCUUAAUGACUACCGACCAGUGGCUCUGACAUCCACCAUCAUGAAGUGCUUUGAGAGGUUGGUCAUGGCACGCAUCAACUCCAGCCUCCCAGACAAUUUCAACCCACUGCAAUUCGCUACCGCCGUAACAAUUCUACAGUGGAUGCCAUCUCCCUGGCCCUACACUCAUCUCUGGAGCAUCUGGACAGUAAAGAAACCUACGUUAGACUAUUGUUUAUUGACUACAGCUCCGCCUUCAAUACUAUAAUUCCUAGCUUACUCAUCGCCAAACUGGGACGCAACACCUCUCUCUGUAACUGGAUCCUUAACUUUCUGACCAACAGACCACAAUCAGUAAGGAUAGGCAGCAACACCUGCCGCAUGAUUAUUCUCAACACUGGUGCCCCACAAGGCUGCGUCCUCAGCUCUCUACUCUACUCCCUAUAUUUUCAUGACUGUGUGGCCAGAUUCUGCUCUAACUCCAUCUACAAGUUUGCAGAUGAUACCACCGUAGUAGGCCGUAUCUCAAAUAAUGAUGAGUCGGAGUACAAGAUGGAGAUAGAGAGCUUAGUGACAUGGUGUCAUGACAACAACCUUUCCCUCAAUGUCAGCAAAACGAAAAAGCUGGUCAUUGACUUCAGGCAAGGGGGUGGUAUACACACACCUCUCUACAUCAACGGUGCUGAGGUCGAGAGUGUUGAGAGCUUCAAGUUCCUAGGAGUGAACGUCUCCAAUAACCUGUCCUGGUCCAACCACGUAGACGCCACGGUCAAGAAAGCUCACCAGCGCCUCAAUUUCCUCAGGAGGCUAAAGAAAUUUGGCAUGUCUCCUUUGACACUCACCAAUUUUUAUCGAUGCACCAUGGAAAGCAUCCUAUCUGGAUGCAUCACAGCUUAGUAUGGCAACUGCUCUGCCCAGGACCUCAAGAAACUGCAGAGAGUUGUGGACACAACCCAGUGCAUCACAGAAACCAGCCUCCCCUCCAUGAACUCUGUCUAUACCUCUCGCUGCCUUGGUGAAGCAGCCAGCAUAAUCAAAGACCCCGCCCACCCAGGUCAUUCUCUCUUCUCCCAUCAGGCAGAAGAUACAAGAGCUUGAGGGAACAUGCCACCAGGCUCAAGGACAGCUUCUAUCCCACGGUGAUAAGACCAUUGAACAGUUCCCUUAUACGAUGAGAUGGACUCUUGACCUCACAAUCUACCUUGUUUGACCUUGCACCUUAUUGUCUACCUGCAGUGCACUUCCCUGUAGCUGUGACACUUUACUCUGUAUUCUGUUAUUGUUUUUACCCUGUACUACCUCAAUGCACUGUAUAAUGAAUUGAUCUGUAUGAAUGGUAUGCAAAACAAGUUUUUCACUGUACCUUGGUACAAGUGACAAUAA